GACGAACGCUGGCGGCGUGCUUAACACAUGCAAGUCGAACGGUGAUGCUCCAGCUUGCUGGAGUGGAUCAGUGGCGAACGGGUGAGUAACACGUGAGCAACCUGCCCCAGACUCUGGAAUAAGCGCUGGAAACGGCGUCUAAUACUGGAUACGAAACUGGCCCGCAUGGGCAUGGUUUGGAAAGUUUUUCGGUUUGGGAUGGGCUCGCGGCCUAUCAGCUUGUUGGUGAGGUAAUGGCUCACCAAGGCGACGACGGGUAGCCGGCCUGAGAGGGCGACCGGCCACACUGGGACUGAGACACGGCCCAGACUCCUACGGGAGGCAGCAGUGGGGAAUAUUGCACAAUGGGCGAAAGCCUGAUGCAGCGACGCCGCGUGAGGGAUGACGGCCUUCGGGUUGUAAACCUCUUUCAGCAGGGAAGAAGCGAAAGUGACGGUACCGGCAGAAGAAGCACCGGCUAACUACGU
rnacentral:rRNA from 1 species